rnacentral:lncRNA from 1 species
AUUUUGGUACAUAAAUUGAAAGGUGGUAUACUUAAAUGUAAUAAACACUAACCUUAAACAUGAGUGGUUAUAAGGUUUGCUAUAUGGGAUGUAUAUGCAAAAAUCCCUUUUCACAAUUCCCCUCCCUGAUCGUCUCUUUCAUUCCCCAUCUCUUCAGAGAUCAGACAAAAAACCCUAACAGCGGCCUUAAUUCCCCACCCUCUCUGGUGGUGGUGCCAUUACUAAGUGACCUCAAAUCGAUACCACAUAACGACCAUGAUCCCCUCAUUCAAAAUUCUCACUCUGUUUCCCUUAAAUCCAAAGCUCGAUCCCUAAAAUCCCAAGGCCAAAUCUAUACAUGCAAGGUUGUCCCUCCUGUUCUCCUUAGUAUUCAAGGUCUAGUUUAUCACAUAAUGAUGUUAUUCGCUUGUUCUUGACAAAGAACAUGCGAUUUACAUUAUUUAGGGCUAAAUCAGAACAUCUCCGGUGAUUUCGAGUAUAAAUCGGUGAGUUUUUUUUUGGCUUUUUGGCUCGUUCUUCUGCCUCGCUUCGUCGUCUUCUUCUUAUUAUUAUUAUUAUUAUUAUUAUUAUUAUUAUUAUUAUUAUUAUUAUUAUUAUUAUUUUUCUUCUUUUUAUUAGGAUUCUUCAAAUUCUUCAUCUCCCAUAUCCCAUCUCUAGAUACUUAACUUUGUAUUGAUGAGAGACAAAGAAUUACUUCCAGUGGUAUUAUAAUGGUUAGGUAAACUUUUCUCCGUUUAUUUGAGCAUGCCUUCUGACAGAAGUUAGUUUUGAACUUAGUUCUUCCCUUAGGACAGUCUUUUUUUGUAUUUAUUUCCGUUUCAUUUUUCAGUUUCUCUUUUCAAGUUUUAAAAUUGUGCUCGCCUUUGUGAUCUACUUUAUUUAGUUUUAGAUUUUAAGUUUCUGAUUUUCCCUUUUGUUUCUUUUUUCUCUCAGUCUUAUAUCUUAGUUUAUCUCAAUUUAAUAACUUCAUUAAAUCUUUGCUUACUUAUGUUCAGUAAUUACUCGUUUGUUUAGGUUAGCUGUUGAAGUAAUUUAAGUGAAUUUCCCUUGUUUGAAUUGAAUUGUUGAUUCUGUUUUGGUCGCCUUUACUAUUUGGGCUUUGAGGCUAAUUUAGACCCCACUCUAAGGGUUUUGUUGAUUUCUUGGGUCGGGUCUAAGCCCAUGUAUGGCUGAGUUGUUGGGUCAAUUUGACCCAUUUGGCCCCAAAGUAAAAAACAGUAGGUCUAGAGGUUAAUUUAGGAACUCUAAAAGAAAGAAUCUCCAAUAACUGAAUAGGAAACUAAUACCUUGCCUAUAAAGGUAUCAUUACUUGAUAUUCAAAUUAGAAAAUUAGGGAUAUAAGUCAGGAGAAAGUUAAAACGGCUGAGUCUUUUAAAACACUGAAAUUUGUCAUUAUGGUGAAAAUUGGUCCAGUUCUCUUUUAGUUCUAUUAUCUGAAAGGUACAAAGUAGUUCUGGAGGUAUUUUUGGGUCGAAAACUGGUGUACAAGUCUGUUUGAUUACUGGUUUAUUGAAUCAAGUCUGCUGCUGCUGCUUCUCCUUGAAUUUCAACUCAUUUUUCUCAUUGUGUAUUGCUGUAAUCAGGUACGCCUUGGAUCUAUUAUCAUGUGAAGUGCAAGUAGGAACCCCUAUAAUUCAAGUUGAAGGAAAUGAUCAACACUGGUUCUCUGUUGCUUGUACAGUCAUUUGAAAUUUGGUUUUGUGUUCAGUUUAGUAUAGCUUCUUAUGUGCAUUUCAUUUUGUUUUAAGGUUUGGAUUUGAAUUUGCUGGGACACAGCUGAUUCAAGAUUGUUUAAGACUUUAUAAUGUGUACUAAUUAAGGGCUAUGGCUCUUAGUUUGAGUAGCUGAAACUGUUUGGUUUUGGAUAUGCCCUUCAUGGCCAUGGUUCAAAUGAAUAUUAGUUAAGGUCCUUGCUCUAGGAGACUUGUAGCAUACUUUGUUUUCCAAUUAAUCUUCUAAACCCGCUCUUAUUUAAUUUGAGGAAUAGUUCAAUAACUUCAGAAAGACUGUCGUCUAAUUCUCCCCCUCUUCAUGUGAGGAAUUUUACUUUUUUUUCUAAAUAAGGGAAUUUCAAAUGGAAGUCAAGUUUUGUUUUGGUUUCGAGAAUUUCUCAGAUUUAAUGUAUUUCUGUACAUGGUUUUUCUUUGAAGCUUGAAUUAUAUAUGGUUUUGUCCAAGUAUGCUGAAUCAGAAUCUAGUAUGAGUCAUGACCCUUGAAUUUUUAAUACUAAGUAAUAAACAGUUUGUGUAAAGGCUUGUUAUUGCAA